UCAAAAUAGACGGGCGUAGCAACGCACGCCAUCAGGGCCGCAGCCAAGGACCCCAAGGCCCAGCCGCCCCCGCGCAUCCACGUCACCUAGCUCAACGGAGCCGAGGAGGCCUUCGUCGCCGCCGACGGCGCCACUGCGCAGGGCAUGCGCGACCAGAUCCUCGCCCGCGGCCGCCUCCUCGAGACCGAGCAGGUCUUCCGCGAGGCCGGGGAGAAGUGGCCCGUCGUCAUCCCCGAGGAGGAGCUCGGCAUGUCAUUCCCCGGUAUCAAGUAAGGAAGAACCACCGCGUGCGUGCAUAUAUAGUAAGUAUUACAGCAAGAAGGAAUCAAGUGGCUGACAGUAGACCGUCGCGAGAAGUAAGGAAGAAUCACCUCCGCGUCUGGACGAGCCUCCUUUAUUUUAAUGCAUGAAAGACUAAAUGGAGGAAAAUGGUUGCUGGCAAGUAGACAAAUCUACAACUUGAGGGAUGGCGUUUCACGGUAUAAUGUUCAGGUAUGGGUACUAUGUUCUCUUAUGAAAACGCUUGACAAUCAAGAAGAUUGGGUUGUGUUUAAUUUGUUAAAAUUACAAUACGGCUUUGGGAAAUACUACAAUAAAAAUUGGCAUACCUCCUGAUAAUGAGAGGAUGACAAGUUCCUUAUCCCCAAGAAUGCCCUCCUAUGCGGCCGAGCCGCUGGACAAGACACUUAGCCACACGGCAAACCCAAGUUUGAAGGAUAGCACCUUGGCCUGAAGCGGCAGACAUAGAAAAUUUAGCAUGAAAAAAAGUCUCACAAAGAAGAGUGACCCAAAAGCAGAUUGUCAUACGUUUGCAAUUGAACUUUUAGUAGCAGCUUGAUUAUUUCAGUAAUUAGUCAUGUAGUAGCAUCUUAGCUUCCUUAAUAAAUAAACAAAUAAACUGAGUAUAUGUUUUGUCAUUCUUAUUUUCUGAGAACUAGCUAUCUGAUCUUCUAUGGUACGCCAUGAAAAUUCAAACGCAUAUCAACUUCAUACAAGAAAGUUAGUCUUAUGAUAGAAGAAAGUCCCAUCGGCCAUUACAGCGCCUGAUUGUUAUCUUUUUCUUUUCAAAUGAUUAUUGAGUACUGACUAUACCCAACAACACAUGACUGACUGGACCAAGUAGAAGUAGCUGUCUUCGUGUACAAUAUUUUCUCUGGAAAAUUCUAUUGAGCUGGGUACGCGCAUGGGCAUCUCUCUGGGACAAGACAGACCGGUUGCACUCGUACACAGGUUGAUUACGAUCUUUUAAGUAUUUGUGUUUUUUUAAUGGUCUCUUACAUGUCAUUAUUUGUGGCACACAGGACCAUGAGCUUUAACCAAACAUAAUUCAUACAGUAAUAAUUAGGAAGUUUGUAACUGAUUUACUUUGUUCUUUUGUCUUGGUUAUUGAUUAGUUGAUUAUGGUCAUUUGACCAUUUCUGUACACUACUGAGUUUGCCUUUGUGAGCAACUAACAUAUCAUGUUUGAAAGUUGUGGUACAAAUCUUUUAUGUUACUCUCUCAUGGUCCACCCAUUGUUUUCUUCUUUGUUCUUUCUUUCGAGGUUAGAAUUGUGAAUGCAGGCUCUAGAAAUCCAACUUCCAAUUGCUUAUUAAUACCUCAGGUAAACAAGAGUAUAAUUUCUAUCACUAUUUCUUGUGUUUUUAAUACUAUAUUUAACUUACAUUAAGUUUGAGGUCUGCUUUGUACAUUGUUAUAGUAUCCAGAUAUUAUCUCAGUGUAAACAGCCACAGUGCUUCUUGAAAAUAGGGUCUACUGGAAAAUGAUAUGUAAUGAUCAAUUAAAAUUUUCUUAAUAUUCUGGCUAAAGUCUCAUAAUAUUCGUCAUCCUUGGAUCCACGACGGCGUCAUUCUGGAAGAUCAUUUGGCGCAGCUAGGCUCCGCUAAAUGUGAAGUUCUGGCUUGCAUCGCAAAACUGUUGUUGGGCGGCGGACCGCUUGGCCAAGCAUGGUCUUCAGCACCCACCCGUCUGUUGCUUAUGCUCCAAGGAAGAAGAAUCCCUGCAAUACCUCCUCAUUGAUUUUGUCUUCUCGAGGAUCACCUGGCACGAGGUCAAGUCUUGGUGUCGACUACCGCCGCCCAUCCCGGACGUCCAGACCACCUUCUUCGACUGGUGGCUGGAGUGGCCCGCCGUGGCCCCGCCUCAGCAGCGCAAGGGCUUUGCCUCUCUCGUGAUCAUCACAGCUUGGUUCAUUUGGAAGCACAGGAAUGCAGCCAUCUUCGAUGGCUUGCAACCGUCCAACUCACACCUUCUUAGCACCAUCAAGGACGAAGCCAUGCGUUGGGCACGCGAUGGCGUCAAGGGACUAGAUAGAAUUAUCCCUGUAACCUGAUCAUCUUCUGGUGGGGCUGAGCAACCCCCUCUCAUAUGCUCAUCGGUAACCCUGAAGGCGCCAUUCUCGUUGUGCACGUCUUUGGGGUAACCACAGAAAAACCUGUAUUCUCUCCUAUCUAUAAAUGGAAUGAUACACCUAUGUGUGAAAGAUAUUGGGUGUUGGGACCAAAUUAUGGAUAUUUGUAUUGAUGUCAUCUUGACAUGCUUGACGAUACUUAAACAACCUUUGCCUUCC